rnacentral:rRNA from 2 species
GGGUUGUGAGGUUAAGCGACUAAGCGUACACGGUGGAUGCCCUGGCAGUCAGAGGCGAUGAAGGGCGUGCUAAUCUGCGAUAAGCGCCGGUAAGGUGAUAUGAACCGUUAUAACCGGCGAUACCCGAAUGGGGAAACCCAGUGUGACUCGUCACACUAUCAUUAACUGAAUCCAUAGGUUAAUGAGGCGAACCGGGGGAACUGAAACAUCUAAGUACCCCGAGGAAAAGAAAUCAACCGAGAUUCCCCCAGUAGCGGCGAGCGAACGGGGAGGAGCCCAGAGCCUGAAUCAGCAUGUGUGUUAGUGGAAGCGUCUGGAAAGGCGCGCGAUACAGGGUGACAGCCCCGUACACAAAAGCGCAUGUGCUGUGAGCUCGAUGAGUAGGGCGGGACACGUGAUAUCCUGUCUGAAUAUGGGGGGACCAUCCUCCAAGGCUAAAUACUCCUGACUGACCGAUAGUGAACCAGUACCGUGAGGGAAAGGCGAAAAGAACCCCGGCGAGGGGAGUGAAAAAGAACCUGAAACCGUGUACGUACAAGCAGUGGGAGCACCCUUUGGGGUGUGACUGCGUACCUUUUGUAUAAUGGGUCAGCGACUUAUAUUCUGUAGCAAGGUUAACCGAAUAGGGGAGCCGGAGGGAAACCGAGUCUUAACCGGGCGUUAAGUUGCAGGGUAUAGACCCGAAACCCGGUGAUCUAGCCAUGGGCAGGUUGAAGGUUGGGUAACACUAACUGGAGGACCGAACCGACUAAUGUUGAAAAAUUAGCGGAUGACCUGUGGCUGGGGGUGAAAGGCCAAUCAAACCGGGAGAUAGCUGGUUCUCCCCGAAAGCUAUUUAGGUAGCGCCUCGUGAAUUCAUCUCCGGGGGUAGAGCACUGUUUCGGCUAGGGGGCCAUCCCGGCUUACCAACCCGAUGCAAACUGCGAAUACCGGAGAAUGUUAUCACGGGAGACACACGGCGGGUGCUAACGUCCGUCGUGAAGAGGGAAACAACCCAGACCGCCAGCUAAGGUCCCAAAGUCAUGGUUAAGUGGGAAACGAUGUGGGAAGGCCCAGACAGCCAGGAUGUUGGCUUAGAAGCAGCCAUCAUUUAAAGAAAGCGUAAUAGCUCACUGGUCGAGUCGGCCUGCGCGGAAGAUGUAACGGGGCUAAACCAUGCACCGAAGCUGCGGCAGCGA